UGGGGAAUAUUGCACAAUGGGCGAAAGCCUGAUGCAGCAACGCCGCGUGAGUGAUGAAGGCCUUCGGGUUGUAAAGCUCUGUCUUUUGGGACGAUAAUGACGGUACCAAAGGAGGAAGCCACGGCUAACUACGUGCCAGCAGCCGCGGUAAUACGUAGGUGGCAAGCGUUGUCCGGAUUUACUGGGCGUAAAGGAUGCGUAGGCGGAUUUUUAAGUGAGAUGUGAAAACCCUAAGCUUAACUUGGGGACUGCAUUUCAUACUGGAAAUCUAGAGUGCGGGAGAGGAGAAUGGAAUUCCUAGUGUAGCGGUGAAAUGCGUAGAGAUUAGGAAGAACACCAGUGGCGAAGACGAUUCUCUGGACCGUAACUGACGCUGAGGCAUGAAAGCGUGGGUAGCAAACAGGAUUAGAUACCCUGGUAGUCCACGCCGUAAACGAUGAGUACUAGGUGUAGGAGGUAUCGACCCCUUCUGUGCCGCAGUUAACACAAUAAGUACUCCGCCUGGGAAGUACGAUCGCAAGAUUAAAACUCAAAGGAAUUGACGGGGUCAUAGCUGUUUCCU
rnacentral:rRNA from 1 species